rnacentral:rRNA from 1 species
UACGUAGGGUGCAAGCGUUUAAUCGGAAUUACUGGGCGUAAAGCGUGCGCAGGCGGUGAUGUAAGACAGAUGUGAAAUCCCCGGGCUCAACCUGGGAACUGCAUUUGUGACUGCAUUGCUGGAGUACGGCAGAGGGGGAUGGAAUUCCGCGUGUAGCAGUGAAAUGCGUAGAUAUGCGGAGGAACACCGAUGGCGAAGGCAAUCCCCUGGGCCUGUACUGACGCUCAUGCACGAAAGCGUGGGGAGCAAACAGG